rnacentral:misc_RNA from 1 species
GUUGCAGUUACUAUGUUCAUAUUUGGUUAUCAUAUUAACUGCAACCACAAGGAUAAAAAUAAAUUACAGAAAAUCAUAAGCCUCCUCUUGCCAUUGGCUAAAUGCAAAAAUGAACAGAACAACCUUGCCCACAUCCACAUGAUUGAGAAAAUUAAACACAAAACCAAUCAAUGAUGAUAAGCCACAUCUCAUGCUACUAAAAUCAGUUCAGGAUAAAAUUUAGCUCAUUGGCCAAGGCAAGCAUUUAGCUAAAGCAA